rnacentral:rRNA from 1 species
UACGAAGGGGGCUAGCGUUGCUCGGAAUCACUGGGCGUAAAGCGCACGUAGGCGGCUUUUUAAGUCAGGGGUGAAAUCCUGGAGCUCAACUCCAGAACUGCCUUUGAUACUGGGAGGCUCGAGUCCGGGAGAGGUGAGUGGAACUGCGAGUGUAGAGGUGAAAUUCGUAGAUAUUCGCAAGAACACCAGUGGCGAAGGCGGCUCACUGGCCCGGUACUGACGCUGAGGUGCGAAAGCGUGGGGAGCAAACAGG